rnacentral:lncRNA from 1 species
UCGAAUAUGGCGACGGUGUCCCGGAACAUGGUGGUGCUGGCGCUGUGCCUGCUCCUCUUGGUGGUUGCAUCCUCCGGUUAUGCAGUCGACUGCAACCUACAUGACAACUGCUUUAAUGAUUGUACCGGGAAAGGCUACUGGAGAGUCCAUUGCAUGGGCUGCUUCUUUUGUGAACCCGCGCAGGAGGAGGUUGACAUCCCCCCCGCAUGAGAAGGCCAACCACCAUCUCUUCUCUCCUUGUCGUUUCACUUCUAUAUGUAGAAUGCAAUGCUUCGGUCGCAUGCUUCCAUAUCGGUCCACCCUUUCAGCAUUGUUGUGGCUUCCUCUAACCUGCUUCUCCAUCUAUCCGUAAGCAGUG